GUGAUUCUCCUGCCUCAGCCUCCUGAGUAGCUGGAAUUACAGAUUCCAUCAUGGGAAGGAGGAGGGGAAGACCCUGGAAGAUGGAGCAGAAGCCAGCAAGAAGCUAAGGUCUCACCUGGCAACCACUGAGCAGCCUCAACUGGCACAGUCAAGGUUUCUGCCAUCACAGGCCUGGGACUCGAGAGCAAGAGGGAAGCGGUUAUAGACAGCACAGCAAGUGAAGCUGACUGACAAGGGAUGAGGAACGAAAAUUACAAUUUCAGAACCUCUUUGCUCAGCUUUUGGGAAAGAGCGAACUCUCCCCUGUGCAAACCACCUCGUGAUUUUUCAGGAAACCAGGCUGAGAAACUUGGAUUCCAAAACCUAGAGAAAGAUG